rnacentral:rRNA from 1 species
UACGUAGCAGCGAGCGUUGUUCGGAAUUACUGGGCGUAAAGAGUGUGUAGGCGGUGCUCUAAGUUCGGUGUGAAAUCUCCUGGCUCAACGUGGGAGGGUGCGCCGGAAACUGGAGUGCUUGAGCGUGGGAGAGGAAAGCGGAAUUCCUGGUGUAGCGGUGAAAUGCGUAGAUAUCAGGAGGAACACCUGUGGUGUAGACGGCUUUCUGGACCAUAGCUGACGCUGAGACACGAAAGCGUGGGUAGCAAACAGG